UACGUAGGGCGCAAGCGUUGUUCGGAAUUACUGGGCGUAAAGGGCGCGUAGGCGGCCUUCUAAGUCGAACGUGAAAUCCCCGGGCUCAACCCGGGAACUGCGUCCGAUACUGGAAGGCUUGAAUCCGGGAGAGGGAUGCGGAAUUCCAGGUGUAGCGGUGAAAUGCGUAGAUAUCUGGAGGAACACCGGUGGCGAAGGCGGCAUCCUGGACCAAUUCUGACGCUGAGGAGCGAAAGCCAGGGGAGCAAACGGG
rnacentral:rRNA from 1 species